rnacentral:rRNA from 1 species
UACAGAGAUCUCAAGCGUUGUUCGGAUUCAUUGGGCGUAAAGGGUGCGUAGGCGGCGCGGUAAGUCGGGUGUGAAAUUUCGAGGCUUAACCCCGAAACGGCACUCGAAACUGCCCGGCUGGAGGGCCGGAGAGGAGAUCGGAAUUCACGGUGUAGCAGUGAAAUGCGUAGAGAUCGUGAGGAAGACCCGUGGCGAAGGCGGAUCUCUGGACGGCUAACUGACGCUGAGGCGCGAAGGCCAGGGGAGCAAACGGG